UUUAAUUGAAGAGUUUGAUCAUGGCUCAGAUUGAACGCUGGCGGCAGGCCUAACACAUGCAAGUCGAGCGGUAACAGAGAGGUGCUUGCACCUUUGCUGACGAGCGGCGGACGGGUGAGUAAUGCUUGGGAACAUGCCUUGAGGUG
rnacentral:rRNA from 1 species